CUCACCCAAUGGUUGGACAUACUUUGGUAGAGAAACACAGGUCGAAUUCAUAUUUUCAAUCACCCCCCCAACAACACAACCAACAGUACCAUCAACAACACACGGCACAACAUCCAGACGCCAACAGCAAGUACUACAAUAUCAUGGUUAAUUUAGAGAGACCAACAGCUACAACAGACAAUACCAUAGAAGUUUUAUCGUCAAUCUAUACCAUCUUUCAGAGUAUGCCGAUGAACAACUUGUUGGCGGAAGAUGCCUUUAAAAUUGUUGGAAAACCAUGUGUUAUCUUGAUCGUGAAAGGAAGAUCUGGCGCCAACGACAUUGCUUCAUCUGUUGAGAGGGUAGUACGAUCUUUAGAGCGACUUGGAACAAAAGUUGAGGUUACACUUUUGUAUUCUCUUGAAGCAUUUGUAGAAUAUACAGCGAGUAAACUUAUACCAUUAUCAGCUUUAGUUGGUACCACAAGAGCACCAAUAGGAGACAUUGGAUACAAGAACCUAUAUAAAUGUCGACUUACUUAUUCAGGAAAUGAUAUGAAUAAACUGACAUAUGUCAGUCAAACUUUAAACAUUACACUUGAUAUGAUGGAGAGGCGAGCGGCGGGGCAUUUGAUUUUUAAGGGUCACCGAAUCGCUGGUACUCAACCCUUUGAAUUCCAGUUCUAUAUUCACCAAGAACCGCAAGGAAACGAAAUGGGAGCUCUCAUGGCCAUACCACUGAUGCAUGCUGGGAAUGUCCAGAUGCAAACAGAGGAAGUUCAGCCAUUAGGUCAUGUUUUAGACAGAAUGUCAAACACACAAACAGUUAAUAUAGCUAAAGUAUAAUCAAAGGAAAAUCAAACAAGGUGCUUCGAAUUAUUUUGUUUUGAUUUGAAUUUAUGUCUCGCGUGUUUCUAUGAUACUGUUGAGUUUGUAUUUAAAAUGUGGCUGUACAGUUUCCACUAUAUUAAACAAAGUUCUCAAGAUAUGAAGAUACAUUUUAACACUCUUAUCUAAAAAUUCGUCUGAAUUGUAAUAUUUUUGUCGAAAGGCAUCUACAGGAGUUGUCGCAUAUUUUUUUCUUUAGUCAGUAAUGAAACAUCUAUAAUAUACAGGGAUGUAGCCAGGAUUUGCUGAGUGGUAGAAAAAAUAUCUACCGAGCGGAGCGAGUAAAAAAAAAUUUUUGGAGGGGGGCGUGGUGUUUUAUUAAAAUUCAACCUUUCUUGGUGUAUUUUCAGAGCAUCUGCUGCCUUUCUAUUUGCUUCAGUGCAAAUCAAAUUUCCAUUUAUAUAUUAAUUUUUUUACCAAAUUCACUUAAUUAUCAUCAAUGAUACAGAGACUCUGUCAGGGAUCUAAAAACUUUUUGACACCAACU